rnacentral:lncRNA from 1 species
AGGUGAUUGCCUGGGAAAGGCUUUCAUAGGGUAGAGUGAUCUGGUCGAGAGGAAUAUGAGUUCACUCUCAAUGAAAGCACCGAUUAUUGGAAUCAAAUUUGCUCACUGCCACAAAUGGUGGAGGAACAAACUCAAGCUACCUGUAAAACAGAGAACAACUGUGGGCCAGUUUAAGACUGGGGGAGGGGGUGUAACGGCCAAAUUGACAGGUUAAUCUUGAACUUGCUUUGAAAUAGAGAAACACAAGGUUAUUUGUAAAAAUACAUAAAGUAAUUAAGUACUUAUCUUGAAUAUUUAAAAUUAUUAAAAAAGAAACACACACACAUACACACAUUUACCGAUAGCUUUACCAUCAACUCCUCCUUCACUUCGAUAUUCCUCCAUCGAUCGGUAAUCAUGAGACAGUUUAUG